CUUGAUUUCUAUUUUAUGUCAUUGUUAGCAGGUGUUAAUCAAAGCUGACUACAGUGUGCUGAAUGUUACCAUGAUGUUAAUGUUUGCCAUAUUCUUUGUCAUGUUACCAGCUCUGAUUAGGUCUUGUACAAAGUCAAAAAGUUGACCAGACUCCCCAGGACCUGAUAAGAAACCUCACAGAAUCUGCUGUUGUCACUUGCUCACAUUCAAUCCAGGACUUUGAGCUCAUCUUCAGUUUCUCAGGUUUUUCUCAUAGUAACAAAGUCAACCAGUCUCCACCUGAUGUGAUUGAGAGACAAGGAGAAACUGCAAAGAUCCAGUGUUUACACAGUGUGCCCAGUUACAAUCAAAUCAACUGGUACAGACAAAACCAGGACCACAGGUGUCACGAGAGCUCCAGCACUGAAGCAUCAGCAUGACAUUUACAGUGUGUUUGAUUUAUUUCACAGCACUGCUAUCCUUGGUCUCAGGGGAAUCAUUAAGUGACAAAGUUCAUCAAACAACAAAAGACAAGCUGGUUAAAGCACAAGAACAUGUUACACUCACCUGCUCUCACGAAAUACCAAGCUAUUACAUGAUACUAUGGUAUGAGCAAGUGAUAGGGGAUGCUGCUCUAAAUCUAAUUGGAUACGUGCGUUACACAAAUCCAGCCACAGAAAGUCCAUACACAGAUAAGUUCAAUAUUACAGGAGAUGGUGCAAAAUUCUCUGCUCUUGAUUUUAAGCCGAAUGCAUCUGGGAGAUCUGUUAUGUAUUACUGUGCUGCCAGUGAAGCACAGUGUUAGAGAUCAUUUCAUCUGCCUACAAAACCUCUGUUACCACAAACCAUAACUGUAGUAGGAACUUUUAUUAAACAAUUUUACACAAGCUACAUGCCAUGGUGU
ensembl:lncRNA